UCCAAGUUGCUUUCCUGCAGAUCUCAUGAAGAGAGGCAUAGGCUGAAAAUGCUGCUGAGGUGACCGCGGAACCAGUGGAAUGUAAAGUAAUGUGUGAAAGAAGUCACAAUUCUGAAUCUCAUGUGCAAAUACAGGCUUUGAUCUAUUGUGUAAUAGUGGAUGAUGAAACUUUCUGCCCCCAUGGCGGUGGGCAAAAAACCGAAACAAAUAGAAAGUCUGUGGAACAGAAGAUGGAAGCAUAUUGGAGGUAUGUCUUGAGGCAACUGUGGACAUCUAGUUUGUGACAAGCCUGUAGGAUCUUUAAAAGAGCUUUCACCAUCUUGUAACAUAGCUCUGGACAAUAAUGCCACAUCUGGUGCAUCUGUGGAAGGCACUUUCAGUAGGCCCAUUAUUUUAGAGGACUUAAAAACUUAUUUGCUGUUGGGCUACCCCAUCAGUUCGCUGCAGGUCCUCACCAUUCUUGUCUUAUGGUGGCCACAAAACACUUGGGGAAAGUAUUAUAGGAUGCUGAGUCUUUGGCUUAGGGAACACCAAUGAUCCUUUAAGAUGGGGCUGCACAUCUCCCUUGAGUGUAGGCCUAGAAUAGUUAUCACCUUAGUUAGUAAGGAGGUGAAAUCCUCUGCCAUAAAAGGCUCUGAGAUUUAGCUAUAGGGUCAGGGUAUUGGUCAUUUGACAAUUCACCCUCCUCUGUGAAUGGAACUACAUUCCUGUCGGGGUAGUCAGGGGGCAGAUUCUGCAUAUUUGGGAGUGGGUCCUAAGGAUAACGGGGAACAGGAGAAUCAUAACCCUAGUCCCCUAACUGAGCAAAGAGGCACCUUGUUAAAGUGGUGAUUCUCUUUAAUGAGAAGGGGGAGAGCAACUGGCCCUAUCCAUCCCCAGCACAGCAUCCCUCCAGUGGCUGUUGCUGGGGUCUAUCUUAUGGUGUGUGUUUUUAGAGUGCUUUGUGGACAGGGAGCCACUUUUAUUUAUUUAUUUCCAUGUUAACCGCUUUGGGAACUUUGGUUGAAAAGUAGUAUAUAAAUAUUUGUUGUAUUCAUAUUUGUAUAAUCAGGUAUAUCAGAGGAAUGGGCAGGAAAGGGCUUGGAUGGCAUAGGUUUUGCUUUGGUGCUUCUUGGGUUUUUUGAACCCUUUGUGGUUCUUUUUAUGUUUUCUAGGCAAUGAACCUGAGGAGGAUGGGAGAUGGGGAAGAGGAUGGGGGAGGAGUCAAGAGUCCUUCUCCUACAUUUCUUUUUCUUAUACUUUUGUUUAGAUUGGGAAUACUCCAGAAGAGUCUUUGCAAACAUUCCCUGGAACCACAUUCCCUGGAACCAUUCCUGCCAUACUGCAGGCGCUUGAUCAGCCAGUUCUCUUGCUAGGCAAGACUGAGCCUGAGCACGUGCACAGAGGUCCUAAACAAGCAGCAGUGCAGCAGCCAGGGUCAUUCAAGAUGCUGACGGGCGGGUGAAAGGAGCCUCCACUGCCUCCAACGUCUCCACUGCUGCAGCCAUCCCAGGACCUCAUUUGGGAGGUGGGCAGAAGGAGCCCUAGUCCUGCCACCAUCCCCCGUCCAGCCGCCACAACUGCAGCUUGGAUUUAAAAGCAGAAGAGUAGUAUAAAGAAAGUGUGGAUCCUUCAACAGCAGGGCUUACCCAGCAUUUUGUGAUUCCUUGAUUCUAUAGAGGAGGCCAGUGCUGCUCCUCAGAAGAUCCAGUUGUCCCUAAGAGAGUACACACCAUUUUAACACUUUACCACAGUUCUACUAUAAUGGUUUCAGAUUAGAAAACAACAUGAAUGGUCCUGGACUAUAAAAUUAAAUUGGAUUAAGUAAAUAUUGGAUAUUGUGUUGUAAU